GGCUGAUAAGAAGAGGAAGAGACACCAGACCUCUCUCCCUGUCAUGGGAGAAUACAGGGAGAAGGCAACCAUCUGAAAGCCAGGAAGGGGGUUCUCACCAGAACCUGACCAUGCUGGCAUCCUCAUCUUGAACUUUCAGUCUCCAGAUCUGUGACAAAAUAAAUGUCUGUUGUAUAAGCCAUCUAAUCUAUCUUAUUUUGCUCUGGCAGCCUCAGCAGACUCAGACACUAACCUCCAAGAACCGCAUGGAUUCUGUGGGCAUGGCAUUCAGCUUCAUAGCAUGGACACCAGGAACACCAGGUGCUCCCUGCCGUGGCUGCCAAAUAUCCAGUUUUGGAGACUCACCCACUGGGCAUUUCUCUCCACGGUGAUUUCCUGUGCCUGUUUGACUGAAGCUCAGGAACAAAUCCCAGGAAAGAAGUGACAUCAGGACCAGCAGCAAUGGCUAAUGACCCCCUCCCUGGCGCUGACCAAUCAUCGGAGAUCAAGACCUGAGGAGACACACCAGGAGAGCUGAUAAACAUUCUCUUGAGAUCCUCCUCUGAGACCUCAGAUAAAAGGCCUCAGGAUGGAGGAACCAAUGCAGCUCUUUCGAUGGAGUACACCUGCGCCUCUUCCCACCCUUUCCCCCGGGCAGCUCUCUCUCCCGCCCUCCCCGAAGCUCCAAAGGCCCUUCUUUUGCUGUAACUUGUUUUUGAGCCCAUUUCUUCUAUGGCUCACUACUUCUA